GGGGAGUUAGCUCAGCUGGCUAGAGCACCGGCAUCACACGCCGGGGGUCGUGGGUUCGAAUCCCCCACUUCCCACCA
rnacentral:tRNA from 1 species